rnacentral:rRNA from 1 species
GUUAAAAAUAUUUAAUGGGGGUUAAAGUAUUUUUAAUUGAAAAAAUUUGAAAUUUUAUAGUAAAUUAGUAUUGUGAAAGAAUUUUGAAAUAAUAAUUUAAAUAAAAAUUAUUAUAAAAGUAAAUUUUAUUUAUUGUAUCUUGUGUAUCAGAGUUUGUUAAAAAUUGUUUAUUUAUUUAAGUUUCUCGAAUUUAAAAGAGUUAAUUAAUUAAGAAAUUUAUUGUUUCAUAAAUAUUUUAAAUAAUUAAUUAGAAAUGAAAUGUUAAUCGUUUUUAAAUAUAUCUAGUUAUUUUAGAAAAAAAUUUAAUUUUUAAUUUUAAUUUAAAUUUAAUUAAUUAAUUAAUUAAAUUUAAAUUAAAAUUUAAUAUUUUAAGGGAUAAGCUUUAAUUUAAAUUAUUAUAAUAAAUAAUUUAAUUUUUGAAAAUUUUAUAAUUUAUAUUGUUAAUAAAUUUUAAUUUAUUAUAAAUAAUUUCAUAAAAAUUAAAAAUUUAAUUAAAAAUUUAAUUUUUUAUAAAAAAAUUUUUUUUAAUAAUAAAAAAUUAGUUAUAAUGAUAAAAUUAGUAUAUAAAUAUUGAAUUUAAACUAUAAAUAAUAAUAAAGUUAUUUUAAAGGAAUUCGACAAAAAAUUAUAUUCACCUGUUUAUCAAAAACAUGUCUUUUUGUUAAUAAUUUAAAGUCUAAUCUGCCCACUGAUUUUAUAAUUAAAGGGCUGCAGUAUAUUGACUGUACAAAGGUAGCAUAAUCAUUAGUCUCUUAAUUGGUGACUUGUAUGAAAGAUUGGAUGAAAUAUAAAUUGUCUCUAAGAUAUUUAUUAGAAAUUAAUUUUUUAAUUAAAAAGUUAAAAUAGAUUAAAAAGACGAGAAGACCCUAUAGAGUUUUAUAUUUAUUAUUUUUGAAAUUUUAAUUAAAUAAUUUUAUUUUGGAAAUUAAUUAAAUAUUUUAUUGGGGUGAUAGAAAAAUAAAUUAAACUUUUUUUUACAUAAAACAUAAAUAAGUGAAUAAUUGAUCCGGUAUUAUUGAUUAUAAGAAAAAAUUACCUUAGGGAUAACAGCGUAAUUUUUUUUUUUAGUUCAAAUAAGAAAAAGAGUUUGCGACCUCGAUGUUGGAUUAAGAUAAAAUUUAAAUGCAGAAGUUUAAAAUUUUGAUCUGUUCGAUCAUUAAAAUCUUACAUGAUCUGAGUUCAAACCGGUGUAAGCCAGGUUGGUUUCUAUCUUUUAAAUAAUAUUAUAUUUUAGUACGAAAGGAUUAAAUAUUAUAAUUAAAUUAAGUUAGGUUGAUUUUUAUU